rnacentral:rRNA from 1 species
GAUGAACGCUGGCGGCGUGCCUAAUACAUGCAAGUCGAGCGAACAGACGAGGAGCUUGCUCCCCUGACGUUAGCGGCGGACGGGUGAGUAACACGUGGAUCACCUACCUAUAAGACUGGGAUAACUUCGGGAAACCGGAGCUAAUACCGGAUCAUAUAUUGAACCGCAUGGUUCAAUAGUGAAAGACGGUUUUGCUGUCACUUAUAGAUGGAUCCGCGCCGCAUUAGCUAGUUGGUAAGGUAACGGCUUACCAAGGCAACGAUGCGUAGCCGACCUGAGAGGGUGAUCGGCCACACUGGAACUGAGACACGGUCCAGACUCCUACGGGAGGCAGCAGUAGGGAAUCUUCCGCAAUGGGCGAAAGCCUGACGCAGCAACGCCGCGUGAGUGAUGAAGGUCUUCGGAUCGUAAAACUCUGUUAUUAGGGAAGAACAGAUGUGUAAGUAACUAUGCACGUCUUGACGGUACCUAAACAGAAAGCCACGGCUAACUACGUG